AGAACGAACGCUGGCGGCAUGCCUAAUACAUGCAAGUCGAACGAACACUUCGGUGUUAGUGGCGCACGGGUGCGUAACGCGUGGGAAUCUGCCCUUGGGUUCGGAAUAACAGUUGGAAACGACUGCUAAUACCGGAUGAUAUCGAAAGAUCAAAGAUUUAUCGCCCAGGGAUGAGCCCGCGUAGGAUUAGCUAGUUGGUGAGGUAAAGGCUCACCAAGGCGACGAUCCUUAGCUGGUCUGAGAGGAUGAUCAGCCACACUGGGACUGAGACACGGCCCAGACUCCGUACGGGAGGCAGCGAGUAGGGAAUAGUUGGACAAGUCGGGCG
rnacentral:rRNA from 1 species